GCCCUUGAUAGCUCAGUUGGUAGAGCAUGAGACUAUUAAUCUCAGGGCCGUGGGUUCGAGCGCCUCAUUGGGCA